rnacentral:rRNA from 1 species
GUAGGGAAUCUUGCGCAAUGGGCGAAAGCCUGACGCAGCCAUGCCGCGUGAAUGAUGAAGGUCUUAGGAUUGUAAAAUUCUUUCACCGGGGACGAUAAUGACGGUACCCGGAGAAGAAGCCCCGGCUAACUUCGUGCCAGCAGCCGCGGUAAUACGAAGGGGGCUAGCGUUGCUCGGAAUUACUGGGCGUAAAGGGAGCGUAGGCGGAUAGUUUAGUCAGAGGUGAAAGCCCAGGGCUCAACCUUGGAAUUGCCUUUGAUACUGGCUAUCUUGAGUAUGGAAGAGGUAUGUGGAACUCCGAGUGUAGAGGUGAAAUUCGUAGAUAUUCGGAAGAACACCAGUGGCGAAGGCGACAUACUGGUCCAUUACUGACGCUGAGGCUCGAAAGCGUGGGGAGCAAAUGGGAUUAGAUACCCUGGUAGUCC